rnacentral:rRNA from 1 species
UUUGCUUUUCCUGCCGGCGAGUGGCGUUUUAGGAAGAGGGGAGACAUCGGAACGUGCCCUGUAGUGGGGGAUAACUAGUCGAAAGAUUAGCUAAUACCGCAUACGACCUGAGGGUGAAAGUGGGGGACCGCAAGGCCUCAUGCUAUAGGAGCGGCCGAUGUCUGAUUAGCUAGUUGGUGGGGUAAAGGCCUACCAAGGCGACGAUCAGUAGCUGGUCUGAGAGGACGAUCAGCCACACUGGGACUGAGACACGGCCCAGACUCCUACGGGAGGCAGCAGUGGGGAAUUUUGGACAAUGGGCGAAAGCCUGAUCCACCAAUGCCGCGUGUGUGAAAAAGGCCUUCGUAGUUGUAAAGCACUUUUGUCCGGAAAGAAAAGACU